GCACCCUGCUCGGGUGAUCUGGCGCAGAACCCAGGGGGGUGCUUGGCGUUCGUCGGGCUCCUCCCCGUUUGCUGCGGCCUCAGAGCUCGGCGUUAUCCCUUGGCCUCCGCAGAAUGUGGAUGACGCCCAAGAGGAUUAGGAUGGAAGUCGACGAGGCUCUGGUGUUUCGGCCCGAGUGGACCCAGCGUUACCUGGUGGUGGAGCCUGCGGAGGGUGACGGGGCCCUGUGCCUGGUGUGUCGCCGCCUGGUCGCCUCUACUCGGGAACGCGACGUGAGGCGCCACUACGAAGCCGAACACGAAUUCUACGAACGGUUUGUAGGGGACGAGGAACGCGCGGCCCUGGUGGAGCGUCUGCGGCAGGGCGACAUGUCUUUGGCUGCCGUUCUCACUCCGGAGGAGAGAGCUACGCGGGCAGGCCUCGGCCUCUGCCGCUUCUUGGCCUUGAAGGGUCGCGGCUGGGGUGAGGGUGAC
rnacentral:lncRNA from 1 species